UCACAGUUGAUGAUGAGUCUGUAUGGGAUAGGGCAAUACAGGCAAAUCCAGGUUGGUUGAAAUACAAGAAGUAUGGACUAAACAACUGGCCAGAUUUGAGUAUGAUAUAUGGGGAUGCCUAUGCUAGAGGAAACUUAGGGGUUGAUAGUGCUCAAGAUUUGGAUCACUUCGAAGCUGAUAAUAGUGUUGAUAUUGAGCAAGUCUUUGAAUCUCCUACUACCCUCGUGCAUUUGGGCAUGACUAACCCUUCUAUGAGGAUACUCCUAUUCCAACUCAGAUCACCACAAAGCGAAGUCUUGAUAGGACACCCACGGGACGAAGAAAAAAGAGUGCCAAUAAAGGAGAUAGCCACAUGAAUGACUUGUAUGGGAAGUAUUUAUCCAUUAAAAUUGAGAAAGCAUCCAGUACUUCCGUUACAUCUCCUGUUCAUGGUGGGGAAGGUGCAUCUCAUCCUCGAGAUUUCAGUGUGAGUGCAUGUGAGGCCGUAUUAUCCUCCAUACCGGAUAUGUCAAAAGAGAUGUACUUGAAGGCCACCAGUCGUAUGUGUGCCGAUCCUAGUUGGAGGGAGUUGUUUGUCUGUGCAGAGCCUGUGAAGAGGACUUGGCUUUUAAAUGCUUUGGAGUAGUUUGUCUGAUUCUAUUGUUGGGAUUAAUUUUGAUGGUUGUGUUUGAAUACUACUUUUGAUGAUUUUGGAUUCAGGACAAUACUUUCGACGAUG